CUACGUAGGGUGCAAGCGUUAAUCGGAAUUACUGGGCGUAAAGCGUGCGCAGGCGGUUUUGUAAGACAGUGGUGAAAUCCCCGGGCUCAACCUGGGAACUGCCAUUGUGACUGCAAGGCUGGAGUGCGGCAGAGGGGGAUGGAAUUCCGCGUGUAGCAGUGAAAUGCGUAGGUAUGCGGAGGAACACCGAUGGCGAAGGCAAUCCCCUGGGCCUGCACUGACGCUCAUGCACGAAAGCGUGGGGAGCAAACAGGAUUAGAUACCCUGGUAGUCCACGCCCUAAACGAUGUCAACUGGUUGUUGGGGAUUUAUUUUCUCAGUAACGAAGCUAACGCGUGAAGUUGACCGCCUGGGGAGUACGGCCGCAAGGUUAAAACUCAAAGGAAUUGACGGGG
rnacentral:rRNA from 1 species